rnacentral:rRNA from 1 species
ACGGAGGGUGCAAGCAUUGAUCGGAAUUACUGGGCGUAAAGGGCGCGUAGGCGGCUAGAAAGGUCAGAUGUGAAAUUCCGGGGCUCAUCCCCGGAGCUGCAUUUGAAACUCUCUAGCUAGAGUGCAGUUAGGGCAAACGGAAUUCCACGUGUAGCGGUGAAAUGCGUAGAUAUGUGGAAGAACACCGGUGGUGAAGACGGUUUACUGGGCUGUAACUGACGCUGAGGCGCGAAAGCAUGGGGAGCAAACAGGA